AAUGAACGCUGGCGGUAGGCCUAACACAUGCAAGUCGAACGGCGGCACAGUAAGAACUUGCUCUUAUGGGGGGCGAGUGGCGGACGGGUGAGGAAUACAUCGGAAUCUACUUUUUCGUGCGGGAUAACGAAGGGACACUUACGCUAAUACAGCAUACGACCUACGGGAGAAAGCAGUGGAGCUUCGGACCUUGCGCGAUUGAAUGAGCCGAAGUCGGAUUAGCUAGUUGGCGGGGUCAACGCCCACCAAUGCCAUGAUCCGUAGCUGGUCUGAGAGGAUUAUCAGCCAGUCUGGAACGGAGACACGGUCCAGACGCCACCGAGAGGCGGCAGAGGGUAACAGUGGACAAGGGGGGCAAGCCUGAUGCAGCAAUAGCGCGUGGGUGAAGAAGGCUUUCGGGUUGUAAAGCCCUUUUGUUGGGAUAGAAAAGCAGCAGGGUAAUAACCCGCUGUUCUGACGGUACCCAAAGAAUAAGCACCGGCUAACUUCGUG
rnacentral:rRNA from 1 species